rnacentral:rRNA from 1 species
UACGUAGGGUGCGAGCGUUGUCCGGAAUUAUUGGGCGUAAAGCGCACGUAGGCGGUUCGUUAUGUCGGAUGUGAAAGCCCUCGGCUUAACCGAGGAAGUGCAUCCGAAACUGGCGGGCUUGAGUACGGAAGAGGGUCUCGGAAUUCCCGGUGUAGAGGUGAAAUUCGUAGAUAUCGGGAGGAACACCAGUGGCGAAGGCGGAGACCUGGGCCGAUACUGACGCUGAGGUGCGAAAGCGUGGGAAGCAAACAGG